ACGUUAGGCAGCGCAUUUUUCAAAUCGAGGACGAGAGAAUAUUAAUAAGGUUAGUUGCGAAAUACAUAUGAAUAAGAAGAACAUACAGAAGAAGAGAGAAUAUUUCCACAGCUCCACGAACUCUUUAAAGCGAUUGGCGAAAGCAUCAUAUUUGAAGGUCAAUUAAACAGGAAAAGAAAGGGAGAGAUAUCAGACUUCUGUUCCAAAUGGGCCCAAUGGUAAAGCAGUCCUAGCAAUCCCACCAGCAGACCAAAUAAGAGUAGCUGCCUGAAUGAAGGUAGCAGUAGACGAGGAAGAACCAGGGG